CAUGAAGCUGGAAUCGCUAGUAAUCGCAGAUCAGAAUGCUGCGGUGAAUACGUUCCCGGGUCUUGUACACACCGCCCGUCACACCAUGGGAGUCGGAAAUGCCCGAAGCCAGUGACCCAACCUUUAAGGAGGGAGCUGUCGAAGGCAGGUCUGGUAACUGGGGUGAAGUCGUAACAAGGUAGC
rnacentral:rRNA from 1 species